GACGGGUGAGUAAUGAAUAGGUAACGUACCCCGGGCACAGGGAUAACGUCGGGCGCAAGCCCUUUGCGAAAGUGACGGUAAUACCUGGUGAUGUCAACGAUGGGCAUCCAUUGUUGACCAUAAGGUGGGGACCUUCGGGCCUACCGGCCUGGGAGCGGCCUAUUUCCUAUCAGCUAGUUGGUGAGGUAAUGGCUCACCAAGGCGACGACGGGUAGCCGGACUGAGAGGUUGUUCGGCCACAUCGGGACUGAGACACUGCCCGGACAUCUACGGAUGGCUGCAGUAACGAAUAUUCCGCAAUGGGCGCAAGCCUGACGGAGCGGCGCCGCGUGGAGGAUGAAGUCCCUCGGGAUGUAAACUCCUUUUAGGAAGCUGAAAGCAAGUCGGACGAACAAUCCGGCGAGCGGAUCUAUUCCAGAAAAAGCCUCGGCUAAACCCGUGCCAGCAGCCGCGGUAAUACGGGUGAGGCAAGGCGUUGUUCGGAAUCACUGGGCUUAAAGCGCGUGUAGGCGGCGAGGUAAGUACUUUGUGAAGGCCCUUCUCUCAAAGGAGGAAUCGCUUGGUAUACUGCCUUGCUUGAGGCAGGUAGGGGUGCUUGGAACUCUCGGUGGAGCGGUGAAAUGCGUAGAUAUCGAGAGGAACGCCCGUGGCGAAAGCGGAGCACUGGGCCUGUCCUGACGCUGAGACGCGAAAGCGUUGGGUAGCAAACGGGAUUAGAUACCCCGGUAGUCCACGCCGUAAACGAUGCGCACUAGGUAUGCACCACUCUGACGUGGUA
rnacentral:rRNA from 1 species